UACAGAGGUCUCAAGCGUUGUUCGGAUUCAUUGGGCGUAAAGGGUGCGUAGGCGGCGCGGUAAGUCGGGUGUGAAAUCUCGGGGCUUAACUCCGAAACUGCAUUCGAUACUGCCGUGCUUGAGGACUGGAGAGGGAGACGUGGAAUUUGACGGUGAGCGGUGAAAUGCGUAGAUAUCGUAAGGAAGACCAGUGGCGAAGGCGGGUCUCUGGACAGUUCCUGACGCUGAGGCACGAAGGCCAGGGGAGCAAACGGG
rnacentral:rRNA from 1 species